AUUGAACGCUGGCGGCAGGCCUAACACAUGCAAGUCGAGCGAGCGGCGGACGGGUGAGUAAUGUAUGGGGACUGCCCGAUAGAGGGGGAUAACUACUCGAAAGAGUGGCUAAUACCGCAUACUAUUUGAGGGCCGAUAUCGGAUUAGCUAGUAGUGGGGGUAAUGGCUCACCUAGGCGACGAUCCCUAGCUGGUCUGAGAGGAUGAUCAGCCAAACUGGGACUGAGACACGGCCCAGACUCCUACGGAGGCAGCAGUGGGGAAUAUUGCACAAUGGGCGCAAGCCUGAUGCAGCCAUGCGGCGUGUAUGAAGAAGGCCCUAGGGUUGUAAAGUACUUUCAGUCGGGAGGCGUUACCGACAGAAGAAGCACCGGCUAACUCCGUGCCAGCCGCCGCGGUAAUUC
rnacentral:rRNA from 1 species